UACGAAGGGGGCUAGCGUUGCUCGGAAUUACUGGGCGUAAAGCGCACGUAGGCGGUCUUUAAGUCGGGGGUGAAAUCCUGGAGCUCAACUCCAGAACUGCCCUUCGAUACUGGAAGACUUGAGUCCGGGAGAGGUGAGUGGAACUGCGAGUGUAGAGGUGAAAUUCGUAGAUAUUCGCAAGAACACCAGUGGCGAAGGCGGCUCACUGGCCCGGUACUGACGCUGAGGUGCGAAAGCGUGGGGAGCGAGUCGG
rnacentral:rRNA from 1 species